CCUCCAUUUCUUGGCACGCACGCCGUUGGUCAGUACGCGUGUGUGUAUGUACGGAGGAACAGCACUGCCAGUGCUAUGUCUUCGGUGCCAGCGUGUCGUCCGUCUGCUGGUUCUAUCCUCAAUCGCUGGCACACCU